rnacentral:sRNA from 1 species
ACCAUGCAUCCGCGCGCCGCAACCCGUCUCCUCGCUCUCGCCGCCGGCGCGGCGCCGCCUCGACGACUCGAUCACAAUGACAGAACCAUCGAUCAGAGCGGCAAGAGCUAGGUGGACCAUGAAGGCUAUGCUAAUGUCAGCAAAUUAAGACCUUGAUUGCAAGCUAUUGCAAGACGAACAUUUCUUGCAUCUAGUGCAAAACCUGGAAAGUGUGUUUCCAUGCUUCGCCAUAAAAUGGGUGGACCACAAUAUCAGGAUUAUCACAAGCACUCUCCUUGUGAAACCGCAUGUGCUUGGCCGUUACUGGCUCCAUGUACAUCUGCUGCAUUCAUGGUAUAAAUGGUAAAUAACGUAUAACUUUGUGUGGCACUAGCUUUCAUUUUGUCCCUUGAUAUCCCUCUUCCACGGCUACGUAACAACUUUCGUUACAAAUAUCAUAUUUUUCUUUCUCUGAAUCCUCUUUGUAGUAUAUCAUGCAGUUAUUUAUGCAAACAUCUAUUUUGACAUAUGGCAUUUUUAAACC